rnacentral:rRNA from 1 species
UUGAACGCUGGCGGUAUGCUUUACACAUGCAAGUCGAACGGCAGCACGGGGCAACCUGGUGGCGAGUGGCGAACGGGUGAGUAACAUAUCGGAACAUAUCCGGAAGUGGGGGAUAACGUAGCGAAAGUUACGCUAAUACCGCAUAUGCCCUGAGGGGGAAAGUGGGGGAUCGCAAGACCUCACGCUUUCGGAGUGGCCGAUAUCAGAUUAGCUAGUUGGUGGGGUAAAGGCCCACCAAGGCGACGAUCUGUAGCUGGUCUGAGAUGACGACCAGCCACACUGGAACUGAGACACGGUCCAGACUCCUACGGGAGGCAGCAGUGAGGAAUUUUGGACAAUGGGCGCAAGCCUGAUCCAGCCAUACCGCGUGAGUGAAGAAGGCCUUCGGGUUGUAAAGCUCUUUCAGUGGGAACGAAACGGUUCAAGUGAAUAACUUGGGCUAAUGACGGUACCAAAAGAAGAAGCACCAGCUAACUACGU